rnacentral:ncRNA from 1 species
UUUAGCUAUAUGCGUACAGGUGGCCGAGAAGGCUGAAAAGGGAAGCCGGUGUAAAUCCGGUGCGAUCGCGUCACUGUGAGGGGGAUCACCCUGCAGAUACCACUGCCGGCACACAGCUGCAGUUAUGAUUGACUGCAGAUUCUAUCCGGUGCGGGUGGGAAGGUGCAGGUGUGAGAUGAUCCCGAGCCAGGAAACCUGCCUGUUCGCUGGCAUCGUU